AUGCAAGUCGAACGGGAACCAUUGGAUAAAAACUUGUUUUUAUCUGAUGGGGAGAGUGGCGAACGGGUGAGUAACACGUAGGCGACCUGCCCCGAAGAGGGGGACAACCACUGGAAACGGUGGCUAACACCCCAUGAGCUCUCGAGAGUUAGAGGUCUUGAGAGGAAAGCUCAGGCGCUUCGGGAGGGGCCUGCGGCCCAUCAGCUAGUUGGUGAGGUAGCGGCUCACCAAGGCGACGACGGGUAGGGGGCCUGAGAGGGUGGUCCCCCACACUGGAACUGCGACACGGUCCAGACUCCUACGGGAGGCAGCAGUAAGGAAUAUUGCGCAAUGGGCGAAAGCCUGACGCAGCAACGCCGCGUGGGUGAAGAAGGCCUUCGGGUUGUAAAGCCCUUUUGUGGGGGAUGAGAAAAAGGACAGUACCCCAGGAAUAAGCGUCGGCUAACUACGUGCCAGCAGCCGCGGUAAAACGUAGGACGCGAGCGUUAUCCGGAUUUACUGGGCGUAAAGCGUGUGCAGGCGGUCGUGUAAGUCGGACGUGAAAGCUCCCGGCUCAACUGGGAGAGGCCGUUCGAGACUGCACGACUUGAGGGCAGGAGAGGAGCGUGGAAUUCCGGGUGUAGUGGUGAAAUGCGUAGAUAUCCGGAGGAACACC
rnacentral:rRNA from 1 species